rnacentral:pre_miRNA from 1 species
AAAGACAUAGUUGCAAGAUGGGAUUAGAAACCAUAUGUCUCAUCAGCACCCUAUGUCCUUUCU